rnacentral:sRNA from 1 species
CGUCACCGAUCCAACGGCUUGCCCUCUGCCAGGCCAUGGCACCAAUCCCAUCGCCAGUGGUUCUCCCGAUGU